GGUUCCUUUGGACGGCACCGGCUAAAAGAGGGUGUUACUUUCCGAGAGGCAAGCCGCAUAUGACGGUUGACAUUCUGCUAGGGGUCGGUGCACGGAUCGUAUAGCAGCCUGGUGGUGCAGCAGAGGCACAUCUAAAAGUUGCAGGACCCUGGAGGACUGGAGUUUGACACCCCUGCCCCAGUGCAUCGGUAAAAACAACUCAUAUAAUCAUGUUAAGGUUGUAACUUUCAGUUUAAUCGGCAGCUAACAAAAUUGUAAAAUAAAUAAAUUUGUAAACAAUUGCUCUAUAUUUCGUAAAGUUGUAGAUAUUUCGGCUGUCUGAAAUAAUUUGUUCCCCCUCCAUAAAAUGGGAACAAAUUAAUUUACCAGCAAGUCUUUAAAUGUGUUUAUUCCUCUCAUCAUCAGCAACAAAUCCUGUGGAUUUGGUGACAUUUGAUCAUUAUUUGCCAAAGUUAAAGGAGGGUGAACCAUAUAUUUUAGCCACCUGAAAUAACCUGUUCCCCCUCCAUAACAUGUACAUGUAUAGAUUAUAUUAAUAGAAUGAUUUUUGAUGUUGAUAAGAUGCAGGGUUAUUAAUUAUCAGGUCUGUUUUACACAAGCCAGGUUCCUGUUGAAGAUCCUAUUCCAGAUCUUGUUCUAGACCAGGAGAGAGGAUCUGCUCCUGUCUGUUCCAAGCAGACCAGACUAGCGAGCUAACCACACAUUGAAUCAAGAGAAACGUCACAUCCCUUCAACUCCUUCCAGUCUGGUGAGAGAUAUUCAAACCCACAGCCACACUUUCAUUCUUACUCUGGACUGGACUGAAUUGGAUCCUUUUCCAUCAUCCUGAUCACUUCCAUCAAAGAGAUGAAUUGUUAAAUGUUGCCUUGGAUAAAGGGGAAAAAAACAUUUCUAGGAUUUCAUGGACUAUUUGAAGUACUUCUCUGUAUAUAUUGUUGUAAAUAUUCAUUAAUAAAUUUCACUAAUUUUGCACUAUUCGGUUGACUGUGUGUUUUUACAAAUUACCACUCCCUCCUGCAGUCGAGCAGGAAUUUUCUGAUCUGACCUCAUUAACUAACUCAUAAUUCAUUCUAAUAUCCAUAUAAGUAAUAUCUUACAUAAAGAAAAAAAAAUUCAGGCUGCUGCACCCUCCAUCAUUCAAACCUUUCCUUUCCAAGAAACAGAAGUAGA